GACGAGCAGUGAUAUUUGCCUCCU
rnacentral:siRNA from 1 species